GCCUGGGUGGCUCAGUCGGUUAAGCAUCUGACUUUGGCUCAGGUCAUGAUCUCGCGGAUUGUGAGUUCAAGUCCUACAUCAGGCU
rnacentral:tRNA from 1 species